GAAUGAAACGGAGUGGUGGGGAUACUGUGCCACUCGGAGGGGAUAUAAGGCGGCCGCCUUUGACAGUGGGUCCAUUCAUGCAACGAAUUUUUACCACUCAUAUAUGAAUCUACGCGGUACGCAUGCUCCGCAAGGAAAGGAGAAGAGAAUGAAACGGAGUGGUGGGGAUACUGUGCCACUCGGAGGGGAUAUAAGGCGGCCGCCUUUGACAGUGGGUCCAUUCAUGCAACGAAUUUUUACCACUCAUAUAUGAAUCUACGCGGUAGGCAUGCUCCGCAAGGAAAGGAGAAGAGAAUGAAAUGGAGUGGUGGGGAUACUGUGCCACUCGGAGGGGAUAUAAGGCGGCCGCCUUUGGCGGUGGGUCCAUUCAUGCAACGAAUUUUUACCACUCAUAUAUGAAUCUACGCGGUAGGCAUGCUCCGCAAGGAAAGGAGAAGAGAAUGAAAUGGAGUGGUGGGGAUACUGUGCCACUCGGAGGGGAUAUAAGGCGGCCGCCUUUGGCGGUGGGUCCAUUCAUGCAACGAAUUUUUACCACUCAUAUAUGAAUCUACGCGGUACGCAUGCUCCGCAAGGAAAGGAGAAGAGAAUGAAAUGGAGUGGUGGGGAUACUGUGCCACUCGGAGGGGAUAUAAGGCGGCCGCCUUUGACAGUGGGUCCAUUCAUGCAACGAAUUUUUACCACUCAUAUAUGAAUCUACGCGGUACGCAUGCUCCGCAAGGAAAGGAGAAGAGAAUGAAACGGAGUGGUGGGGAUACUGUGCCACUCGGAGGGGAUAUAAGGCGGCCGCCUUUGACAGUGGGUCCAUUCAUGCAACGAAUUUUUACCACUCAUAUAUGAAUCUACGCGGUACGCAUGCUCCGCAAGGAAAGGAGAAGAGAAUGAAACGGAGUGGUGGGGAUACUGUGCCACUCGGAGGGGAUAUAAGGCGGCCGCCUUUGACAGUGGGUCCAUUCAUGCAACGAAUUUUUACCACUCAUAUAUGAAUCUACGCGGUAGGCAUGCUCCGCAAGGAAAGGAGAAGAGAAUGAAAUGGAGUGGUGGGGAUACUGUGCCACUCGGAGGGGAUAUAAGGCGGCCGCCUUUGGCGGUGGGUCCAUUCAUGCAACGAAUUUUUACCACUCAUAUAUGAAUCUACGCGGUACGCAUGCUCCGCAAGGAAAGGAGAAGAGAAUGAAAUGGAGUGGUGGGGAUACUGUGCCACUCGGAGGGGAUAUAAGGCGGCCGCCUUUGGCGGUGGGUCCAUUCAUGCAACGAAUUUUUACCACUCAUAUAUGAAUCUACGCGGUACGCAUGCUCCGCAAGGAAAGGAGAAGAGAAUGAAAUGGAGUGGUGGGGAUACUGUGCCACUCGGAGGGGAUAUAAGGCGGCCGCCUUUGACAGUGGGUCCAUUCAUGCAACGAAUUUUUACCACUCAUAUAUGAAUCUACGCGGUACGCAUGCUCCGCAAGGAAAGGAGAAGAGAAUGAAACGGAGUGGUGGGGAUACUGUGCCACUCGGAGGGGAUAUAAGGCGGCCGCCUUUGACAGUGGGUCCAUUCAUGCAACGAAUUUUUACCACUCAUAUAUGAAUCUACGCGGUACGCAUGCUCCGCAAGGAAAGGAGAAGAGAAUAAAACGGAGUGGUGGGGAUACUGUGCCACUUGGG